AUGACGCCUCUGUUCAUCUCAGUGCUGCUGGCUGCUAUGUGCCUCGAAUGCAGAGCACAAAAAGACAACGUGCUGCAAGCAAAAGGAGAAGAGACUGCUGCUGAAGGAGACACAGUAACACUUCACUGUCUCUAUAACACCAGCUCAUCAAAUCAUUAUCUCUUCUGGUACAAACAGGAUGGAAACAACAGCCCCAAAUUCAUCCUGAGUCGCUUUAAAGUUGGUGAAGGGAAAACAGAGGCUGGAGACAGAUUUUCAUCCACACUGGAUUCCAGCAUCAGAUCAGUUCCUCUGAAGAUCCAGAAGCUUCAGCUGUCUGACUCUGCUGUGUACUACUGUGCUCUGCAGCCCACAGUGACAGGAAACACCAAAACUCUGUACUGCACUCUCAAAGACUCUUUUAGCCCUUUGUUUGCUAUCUCGGCGGUCACACCCCCUCCAGUGACAUCACGCUCCAAAGCCCUAUAG